rnacentral:miRNA from 14 species
UGAAAGAUUUGGUAAAUUACUUCUUGGCCUUUUGGCUAAGAUCAAGUGUAGAAAGAUUUGGUAAAAGCCCUCUACUGAUCAGGAUGCUUAAGUGGUAGGCUGA